AUUGAACGCUGGCGGCAGGCCUAACACAUGCAAGUCGAGCGGAUGAAGGGAGCUUGCUCCUGGAUUCAGCGGCGGACGGGUGAGUAAUGCCUAGGAAUCUGCCUGGUAGUGGGGGAUAACGUCCGGAAACGGGCGCUAAUACCGCAUACGUCCUGAGGGAGAAAGUGGGGGAUCUUCGGACCUCACGCUAUCAGAUGAGCAUAGGUCGGAUUAGCUAGUUGGUGGGGUAAAGGCCUACCAAGGCGACGAUCCGUAACUGGUCUGAGAGGAUGAUCAGUCACACUGGAACUGAGACACGGUCCAGACUCCUACGGGAGGCAGCAGUGGGGAAUAUUGGACAAUGGGCGAAAGCCUGAUCCAGCCAUGCCGCGUGUGUGAAGAAGGUCUUCGGAUUGUAAAGCACUUUAAGUUGGGAGGAAGGGCAGUAAGUUAAUACCUUGCUGUAUUGACGUUACCAACAGAAUAAGCACCGGCUAACUUCGUG
rnacentral:rRNA from 1 species